CAAUAGUGACUAUGUCUAAAACAGGUAAACUUAUAGUCCCUGUAUCGUAUGAGUGAGUGACACACACAUGCGACACAGGUGUAGCGAGGUCACUGGUGUGUAGCAUUUCGACAAAGAUGGCGGUAAACAGGAAAUACAUAUACAAGUGAUAAAGAGAAAGUAGCACGUGUGUUGUGUACAAUGUGUGUUGACAAUGGCGCCGGGUACCGACUAGUUCUACAACAAGGCAACAUGGAGUGAUACUGACAAUAAUGGCUGAACGCCUGAGUACAACACUGACAAGCACUGUACGUAGAAGAAAGUGUUUUCUCUUGGUUGUGUCUGCGGUCUACAUUUCAACAGCAGUUUUAGUCUAUCACAUCAUCACUGACAACAGUUAUGACGUCACUCCAAAGGAUGUUCGACGUUUGGGCAUUCUUCUGAAAUCGGCUAUGCAUACAGAUUUGAAUAAUCUACGCUCUGAUUCUGAUAAUACGUCCCUCUCGGAGACAUCUGUUGGCCUAGCUGAAACUGUUAUGGACCAAGGCGAGUUCCCAUGUGACGUCAUAACGGAUUACGAGGAUCUGCUGUGUAAUGUAACGACACCAAACUUCCUGUCGGAGUAUAAAAACCCGUGUUGGAGGGAAGUCUGGCCAACCACUUCAAUGUCUCCCGUACUUCCAGCUAAUCGGGGUCGACAAAUCCGGUACCACGGAUCUGUUUUAUCGACUUGUACGUCAUCCUCACGUGGUCGGUAACCAAGGUUACAUUGAGAAGGAAACUUUCUGGUGGGGAUGGAGACGUUACGGUUUGGACCUCCGUAAAACAGCACCACGCAGAGAUUUCCGCUAUUAUGUCAACUUUUUUAGAGACGCGGCUACCAAGAUAGAGGAGACAACAGACGCAUCAGGCUAUCAUGACGUCAU